rnacentral:rRNA from 1 species
CAAGGAAUGUGAUGAUUCAUAGUAAUCGAACGAAUCGCAGGUAUAUGCGAUAAAAUCAUUCAAGUUUCUGCCCUAUCAGCUUUUGGAUGGUAGUGUAUUGGACUACCAUGGCAGUCACGGGUAACGGAGAAUUAGGGUUCGAUUCCGGAGAGGGAGCCUGAGAAACGGCUACCACAUCUACGGAAGGCAGCAGGCGCGCAAAUUGCCCAAUCCUGACACGGGGAGGCAGUGACAAGAAAUAACAACUCUAGGUUUUCUUAGAAGUGUAAUGAGGAUAAUUUACAAACCUUACCGAAUGCAAUUGGAGGGCAAGUCUGGUGCCAGCAGCCGCGGUAAUUCCAGCUCCAAUAGCGUAUAUUAAAGUUGUUGCAGUUAAAAAGCUCGUAGUUGAAAAUCUGAUUGCUCAGGUCUUCAGCCUUUAGGCGGGGUAUACUGACAGUCAUCCGCUUGCUAAUAUAAGUUCGAUCUUCACGGUUGCUAUAUGAGC